rnacentral:rRNA from 1 species
UUACAAUGGAGAGUUUGAUCCUGGCUCAGGAUGAACGCUAGCGGCAGGCCUAAUACAUGCAAGUCGAGGGGUAGAGAGAGCUUGCUUUCUUGAGACCGGCGCACGGGUGCGUAACGCGUAUGCAACCUACCUUUAUCUGGGGGAUAGCCCGGAGAAAUCCGGAUUAAUACCGCAUAAAAUCACAGGAUAGCAUUAUCUAAUGAUCAAACAUUUAUGGGAUGAAGAUGGGCAUGCGUGUCAUUAGCUAGUUGGCGGGGUAAUGGCCCACCAAGGCGACGAUGACUAGGGGAUCUGAGAGGAUGGCCCCCCACACUGGUACUGAGACACGGACCAGACUCCUACGGGAGGCAGCAGUAAGGAAUAUUGGUCAAUGGAGGCAACUCUGAACCAGCCAUGCCGCGUGCAGGAAGACUGCCCUAUGGGUUGUAAACUGCUUUUAUCCGGGAAUAAACCUUUCUACGUGUAGGAAGCUGAAUGUACCGGAAGAAUAAGGAUCGGCUAACUCCGUGCCAGCAGCCGCGGUAAUACGGAGGAUCCAAGCGUUAUCCGGAUUUAUUGGGUUUAAAGGGUGCGUAGGCGGCCUGUUAAGUCAGGGGUGAAAGACGGUAGCUCAACUAUCGCAGUGCCCUUGAUACUGAUGGGCUUGAAUGGACUAGAGGUAGGCGGAAUGAGACAAGUAGCGGUGAAAUGCAUAGAUAUGUCUCAGAACACCGAUUGCGAAGGCAGCUUACUAUGGUCUUAUUGACGCUGAGGCACGAAAGCGUGGGGAUCAAACAGGAUUAGAUACCCUGGUAGUCCACGCCCUAAACGAUGAACACUCGCUGUUGGCGAUACACAGUCAGCGGCUAAGCGAAAGCGUUAAGUGUUCCACCUGGGGAGUACGCCCGCAAGGGUGAAACUCAAAGGAAUUGACGGGGGCCCGCACAAGCGGAGGAGCAUGUGGUUUAAUUCGAUGAUACGCGAGGAACCUUACCCGGGCUUGAAAGUUAGUGAAUGAUUUAGAGAUAGAUCAGUGAGCAAUCACACGAAACUAGGUGCUGCAUGGCUGUCGUCAGCUCGUGCCGUGAGGUGUUGGGUUAAGUCCCGCAACGAGCGCAACCCCUAUGUUUAGUUGCCAGCAUGUAAUGAUGGGGACUCUAAACAGACUGCCUGUGCAAACAGAGAGGAAGGAGGGGACGACGUCAAGUCAUCAUGGCCCUUACGUCCGGGGCUACACACGUGCUACAAUGGAUGGUACAGAGGGCAGCUACAUAGCAAUAUGAUGCGAAUCUCACAAAGCCAUUCACAGUUCGGAUUGGGGUCUGCAACUCGACCCCAUGAAGUUGGAUUCGCUAGUAAUCGCGUAUCAGCAAUGACGCGGUGAAUACGUUCCCGGGCCUUGUACACACCGCCCGUCAAGCCAUGGAAGUUGGGGGUACCUAAAGUAUGUAACCGUAAGGAGCGUCCUAGGGUAAAACCGAUAACUGGGGCUAAGUCGUAACAAGGUAGCCGUACCGGAAGGUGCGGCUGGAAUACCUCCUUUCUGGAG